rnacentral:rRNA from 1 species
CAAUAGCGUAUAUUAAAGUUGUUGCAGUUAGAACGCUCGUAGUCGGAUUUCGGGGCGAGCCUUCCGGUCUGCCGAUGGGUACGCACUGGUCGGCGCGUCCUUCCUUCCGGAGACCGUGCCUACUCUUAACUGAGCGGGGGCGGGAGACGGAACGUUUACUUUGAAAAAAUCAGAGUGUUUCAAGCAGGCAGCUUGCUCUUGCAUGGAUUAGCAUGGGAUAAUGAAAUAGGACUUUGGUGCUAUUUUGUUGGUUUCGAACACCGAAGUAAUGAUGAGAAGGGACAGUCAGGGGCACUCGUAUUCCGCCGAGAGAGGUGAAAUUCUCAGACCAGCGGAAGACGAACCACUGCGAAAGCAUUUGCCAGGGAUGUUUUCACUGA